GCUGGUAGGUAUGCUCCUAUUCCAAGCCCUGUGAGGCUUCUGGAAAGCUGACAAUACUGUUUUCUUUUGCUGGAUGAGGAGCCAGCUCAGAAGGGGUUAAGUGGCUGGAGACCAGCUGGGCCCUGUUAAUCUGCAGGGACCAGCUGCUUUGUAUAAAAAGGAAGACAAGAAACAGAGCGGCUAGUGCUGAGGGAAAGCUGAGGGUAUUGAAUUGCUUAUGUUCUGGAAAGAGGGAGUGAACACUUGCAUGUUCAGCUUUUUGGUGUGCUGGAAAAUGAAGAAGAGCUCCUAGUGGGAGUGAGUGGGUAUACUGCACCUACCAAUCUGCAGUGGAGGAUACCCUCUCACAGGUUUGACAGAGCUAUAUCCUUUUGAGAAACAAAAUACUUCUUUUCCUAUAAAAUCUGCAGCAGUUUUCUUUUGUCCUUACAAAUAGUAGAGAUGUUCCAAGGACAGUAAUUAUUAUGCAGAAGUUAAGUUGUGCUAGGAGUCUAGAUCAAUAGGAGAAUUUCCCCAAAGCUAAUGGGAAUUGCAGCUCACAUAUCAGAUGACUGAUCUAUUUUCUAAACUGGGUAACAGUUUUAAAGGGAGAUUUGUUUCUGAACUUUGCCAAAGUCUGGGUUUAAUAUUGUAGUUCAGCCUCAGUUUUUGUACUCUGUUGGGAUUCAAAGUCUGAUUUGCAAUAACACUAAAGGUCUUUUAUGGCUUCUUGGUAUUAAUAAUGUGGUAUAAAGAGGGUCUAAAUCCUACUUUAAGGCCCCCUCUUGCCACUAAAUAUAUGAGGGAAUUCAAGCUUCUUCUUAAAGAGUUGAUCUGAGUGAGCAUUCAGGUGCCCCAAAGCAUGGAUUUUUCUCUGAAACUCCUGAGAGCAAGGUAUUUCACAAAAACUGCUUCUCUUUUCCCUCCCACUGAGUUUCAGAGUUCAAACACUGGCAAUUUCCAGUACCAUCUCUUCUUCUCUCCUUGUUACAAGUAGGGUUUCAUUACCUGCUGAACAACCAGUAUCCGCUUUCCAGCAUCAGCAUUGUCCAGAGAUCCUUUCUCUGACUGCCAUCACUCAUUACAGCAACACGCCGCUCUUUCAUGGCAGCCCAACAGAUCGCAGAAACAUGGGGCUCUGGAUCAUUACCAGGGAACAGAGUCACUUUGGGGUCAUUAUCAGAGAAAAGUGUCACUUUUCUUCUUUUUUGUUUUUUUUUUUUUCUUUUUCUUUACAAAUAACAUUUCCUCUCCAGCUCUGCAUGGCGGCAGUUGUCUUCUGAAUCCCAUCUGACUUCUGCAAUAUAGCGGUUUCGACUGAUAUGGUUCAGCAGGGAAUUAAAUUAUGAGAUGUUGCUGGAAAGAAGCUGCUGAAGUCUUUUGAAACAAAAAUAUCUCCUGGAUGGAACAUGCUAAGUCAAGUCCUGAAGGGCCUUAUGAAACUGUUCAGAUAAAAGCUUCUGAUAGUGUGCGUUUGCCAAUAUAUUAAUCAUAAUGCGGUGAAGCAAAAAUCCACCCCAAACUAUGAGAGGCUCUGCAGAGUAAUUCCUCUAAUAUUUUAGCCAGUCUAUGGACUGAUGCUUUUGGCUUAUACGAAAGCAGACUUUCUGUUAGACUGCAAAAGUGAUCUCUAAUGAAAGAUAACACCCUUGGCCUGUGGUUUUGGCAGUUAUAUCUCAUUUCUGUACACUUUUCAGUCCAGUGAGAAGAGCUUAGUGUUGCAAACCUGUACUUGAGCAGUCCUUGCAGCACAUUGUGUGUAGGGAGAGCGCACAGGUAGUGCUCAACCAGGUUCGCAUGCACCAAGAGCUGCUUGGUGCCAUAGAAGCAGCGAGCAUGUGGGGGAAGCUAUGUUGGUUUGUGAAUUUCAUUAAAAAUCUGAGAUGUCUAUGCACGCAGCCUUAUUCACAGUUUUUUCUGUAUUGUGAUUUUAGGAUAUAACAAGGUGUUAACAAGAAAAACAUGUUUUCAUUAAAGCUGUAUACAAAAUGUA